rnacentral:rRNA from 2 species
UCGGGAAUAUUGGACAAUGGAGGAAACUCUGAUCCAGUGACGCCGCGUGAAGGAAGAAGGUCUUCGGAUUGUAAACUUAUUUUGUCAGGGAAGAAACAAAUGACAGUACCUGAAGAAAAAGCACCGGCCAACUACGUGCCAGCAGCCGCGGUAAUACGUAGGGUGCAAGCGUUAUCCGGAUUUACUGGGUGUAAAGGGCGAGUAGACGGUUAUCUAAGUCAGUCGUGAAAACUUAGUGCUCAACAUUAAGCGUGCGACUGAAACUAGACUACUAGAGUGCAGGAGAGGAAAAUGGAAUUCCUAGUGUAGCGGUGAAAUGCGUAGAUAUUAGGAGGAACACCAGUGGCGAAGGCGAUUUUCUGGACUGUAACUGACGUUGAGGCGCGAAAGUGUGGGGAGCAAACAGG